rnacentral:rRNA from 1 species
AGAGUUGUAUCCUGGCUCAGGAUGAACGCUGACAGAAUGCUUAACACAUGCAAGUCUACUUGAAACACUUUCGGGUGUGGAUGGUGGCGGACGGGUGAGUAACGCGUAAAUAACUUGCCCCCUAGUCUGGGACAACUGUUGGAAACGACAGCUAAUACUAGAUAUUAUGACAUCUUGGCAUCAAGAAGUUAUGAAAGCUAUAUGCGCUAGGGGAGAGAUUUGCGUCCUAUUAGCUAGUUGGUGAGGUAAUGGCUCACCAAGGCGACGAUAGGUAGCCGGCCUGAGAGGGUGAACGGCCACAAGGGGACUGAGACACGGCCCUUACUCCUACGGGAGGCAGCAGUGGGGAAUAUUGGACAAUGGACCAAAAGUCUGAUCCAGCAAUUCUGUGUGCUUGAUGAAGGCCUUCGGGUUGUAAAGAGCUUUAAGUAGGGAAGAAGAAAGUGACGGUACCUACAGAAUAAGCGACGGCUAAAUACGUGCCAGCAGCCGCGGUAAUACGUAUGUCGCAAGCGUUAUCCGGAAUUAUUGGGCAUAAAGGGCGUCUAGGCGGUUUAGAAAGUCUGAUGUGAAAAUGCGGGGCUCAACCCCGUAUUGCGUUGGAAACUACUAGACUAGAGUAUU